UACGUAGGGACCAAGCGUUGUUCGGAUUUACUGGGCGUAAAGGGCGCGUAGGCGGCGUGUUAAGUCACUUGUGAAAUCUCUAAGCUUAACUUAGAACGGUCAAGUGAUACUGAUGUGCUAGAGUGCAGAAGGGGCAACCGGAAUUCUUGGUGUAGCGGUGAAAUGCGUAGAUAUCAAGAGGAACACCUGAGGUGAAGACGGGUUGCUGGGCUGACACUGACGCUGAGGCGCGAAAGCUAGGGGUAGCAAACGGG
rnacentral:rRNA from 1 species